CAGCCGCCGCGGUAAUACGAGGGGGGCAAGCGUUGUUCGGAAUUAUUGGGCGUAAAGGGCGCGUAGGCGGUUUGGCAAGUUUGGUGUGAAAUCUUCGGGCUCAACUCGAAGUCUGCAUCGAAAACUGCCGGGCUUGAGUAUGGGAGAGGUGAGUGGAAUUUCCGGUGUAGCGGUGAAAUGCGUAGAUAUCGGAAGGAACACCUGUGGCGAAAGCGGCUCACUGGACCAUUACUGACGCUGAGGCGCGAAAGCUAGGGGAGCAAACAGGAUUAGAUACCCCGGUAGUCCCUGUCUCUUAUAU
rnacentral:rRNA from 1 species